rnacentral:tRNA from 1 species
UGCCCGAUGGUGUAAUGGUAGCACUACUGGUUCUGGACCAGUUAGUCCAGGUUCGAGUCCUGGUCGGGCAGCCA